rnacentral:lncRNA from 10 species
CGCAUCACUGUUUUGCUUCUCCUGUGAGCUGGGCCUUGCACUAGAUUCAGUUAUAGAAACAGGUUAGACCAGGUGCUUGCUCCUGUGGACCUUAUUUUCUAAUGAAGGACACAAAGAACAAGACUAAAGAUAUAUCAGAGGUAUGAGAAAGUGGUCAUUGCUGCAAAGAACAACAAAAUAUUCACAACAGCUGAAUGCUGUCAUAGAUGGCCUGCCCAGGGGCAGUGGCCUGUAAGCCCCCCAAGGCAGCCUGUAGGAGCAGGUGCUGUUUCAGCUGAGACUUGGAUGAGUGGAUGGUGAUGUCCAAGGACACAUCUGGGGAAGAGAAUUCCAGGGAGAGGGAACUGCAAGUACAGAAGCUUGAGGACAGAUGGCACUGGCAAGAAUUCUAGAAGAACUGCACAGAGAAGCAGACUGAAUAACCCCAAGACUUGUAAUGGACCAGCAAACUUCUGAACUCAUACUCACCUAGGAUCCUUGAUAGCAAUUAUUUUUGCUUAAUCUCACGGUUUUCUGCUGCCCACUGGGAAGACCCUUCUUCCCCAAUAGUCCUUUGCACUGAAGGGAACAAUAAAAACAUUAUGUGAAAAAAAACAUAUAUUGCAGAAGAACAGAGCAAAGUGGUGUGAGGUCGCUGUCCACAUCUCAUUGUGUAUUUCAACUCUCAUCCUGCCUGUAUUCAAUUUCAAUAAUUAUCCAAGACCUAUCUUAAACCUAAUUUCCUCUUUCUUUCCAAAAGCUCCUCUAUCUGAAGGUUUUUUCUCCAGCACAUGUUUGAACUUCAGUUUCCUCUCAUCUUAUUUCUCUGUAGAUUUCAUCCUAUCUGCUCUCCAUCCAUCAGAAAAGCUUAAAUAUUUCUCAUCAAAUAUUGUCACUUGCUUGUUUCCAC